rnacentral:lncRNA from 1 species
GUUCCAUACACAUAGUAUAUAUAUAUAUAUAUAUAUAUAUUUUUACUGUACUUUUAUUCAAGGAUUUAAGUGCCGUGGCACGGGAUCGUGCGGGAAACUUGCCGGCACGGUAUGGCACGGUGCGUCUUUUAGUUCUUCGGUCAUCCAGAGGUGUAUAUUCUCCGAGCCGUGCCGAUGCGUGCCGGUCAAAAAAAUUCUUGUGUGCCAACGCAUAAUAGCACGGAAUAUUUAUUUUCUUUAGCAACAAAAUAUUCUAACUAUUUAUUAUGUCUUUUUAUCACAUCUUUUGAACUUUAUUGAGAAAAUUACUUACUAAUUUAAACAAUAGAGGGUUUUGAGCUGUGCCAUCGGCACGGGGUCUGUAUCGUGCUGGUAUCUUGUUAGCACAGUGGAUACGGCUCGUGCCGACGGAUACUUAAAAUCUUUCUUUUAAUCUAAUCUCUUGUUUUUUGAUGCAGUCAAAUAGAUUAGUUAGGAUUUACAUUUUUAUUCUUUUUUAGUUUUCGGAAUUAGUACUUGUGUUAAUUUAUUUUAGUGAUUUCUUGGGUUUCAAGAAUUUUUCCAUGUGGAAUAAAUCCCUAAAGAUUAAGGAUAUAAAUUUGGAAGUUUUAAAAUUAUAAUUACACUUAUUUGUUUUAGGAUUUCCAAAAUCGAAGGAUUUGAAUAGGAUUAGUAUUAGAGUUUUCUAGUGUAAUAGAGUCAAGGCGUUUGUCGUGAGAGUUUUUGGUUAAUGAAAAAUCUAUGUUAAAUCUGUGUGAUCUUUCGUGAUGCCUGUGUGGCUGUUAUCUGGCUUGUAUGGCUUACUCCUCUUCUUCCCCUUUCUUCUUUCUCUAUUUUUUCUUUUUUCUUUCC